rnacentral:lncRNA from 1 species
GUCAAUGUACAUGGCUCUGGAGUCGGAGUAUUGUCUACUUUUGAGGUACAGUGCAUUUUCAUCAUGCUAUUGAAUGGCUUUUGUUUUUGUUGCUUUUUUUUUUUGUUUGGUUAUUUGCUUUUUAGGCUUUGUUGUUGUUGUUGUUGUUAAAGUAGAUGUGCCUUUAAGCUUUGUUUACUCUUGGCAAUAAUAGAUCUUUUUGCUUUAAGGAAACAAAGCUUAUAAAAAAAUCUUACAAGUCGUUUUGGACGUCAAAUGGCUCUUACAAAUGAUUUAAUUAUAAGUUAAUCAAGAACAUGUGGAUUAUAUUUCUCUUCCUAAAUACUCAUUGGUUUAACAUUGCAGGCAAGCUCUUAGAGUGCUUCAGAAUAUUUGUUGUUACUUAUUGGCUUUCCAAAUAGGAAUGAAGUGAUGGAGAAAAUAAAAAUUCAGGCCAGGCACUGUGGCUCACACCCGUAAUCCUAGAACUUUUGGAGGCCAAGGUGGGCGGAUCACAAGGUCAGGAGAUCAAGACUAUCUUGGCCAACAUGGUGAAACCCCGGCUCCACUAAAAAUACAAAAAUUAACUGGACGUGGUGGCGUAUGCCUGUAUUCCUAGCUACU